rnacentral:rRNA from 1 species
GCCCAGACUCCUACGGGAGGCUGCAGUCGAGAAUCUUCCGCAAUGGGCGAAAGCCUGACGGAGCGAUGCCGCGUGAGGGACGAAGGCCUUCGGGUCGUAAACCUCUGUCACCCGGGACGAAGACAAUGACGGUACCGGGAGAGGAAGCCACGGCUAACUACGUGCCAGCAGCCGCGGUAACACGUAGGUGGCGAGCGUUAUUCGGAUUCACUGGGCGUAAAGGGUCCGCAGGGGGCCCUCCAAGCCCGCCGUGAAAUCCCGGGGCUCAACCCCGGGCGUGCGGCGGGGACUGGCGGGCUGGAGUGCGCGAUGGGCAGACGGAACACCAGGUGUAGCGGUGGAAUGCGUGGAUAUCUGGUGGAACACCGAUGGCGAAGGCGGUCUGCUGGCGCGUCACUGACCCUCAGGGACGAAAGCGUGGGUAGCAAACAGGAUUAGAUACCCUGGUAGUCCACGCCGUAAACUGUGAGAACCAGGCAUGUCCGGGCCUACCCCGGGCGUGUCCAGGCCAACGCGAUAAGUUCUCCGCCUGGGGACUACGGCCGCAAGGCUAAAACUCAAAGGAAUUGACGGGGGCCCGCACAAGCGGUGGAGCAUGUUGCUUAAUUCGAGGCAACGCGAAGAACCUUACCCAGGUUUGACAUGCAGGGGCGCCGCGGUGAAAGCCGCGGGUCCUCCGGGACCCCUGCACAGAUGCUGCAUGGCUGUCGUCAGCUCGUGCCGUGAGGUGUUCGGUUAAGUCCGGCAACGAGCGCAACCCGUGCCGCCAGUUACCAUCGGUUGAAGCCGGGGACUCUGGCGGGACCGCCCGUGUCAAGCGGGAGGAAGGCGCGGAUGACGUCAAGUCCGUAUGGCUCCUACGCCUGGGGCUGCAAACGUGCUACAAUGGCCGGUACAAUGGGAUGCCAGGCGGCGACGCCGAGCGGAUCCCCAAAGCCGGCCCCAGUUCGGACUGCAGUCUGCAACUCGACUGCACGAAGUCGGAAUCGCUAGUAAAGGGGCAUCAGCAACGGCCCCUUGAAUACGUUCCCGGGCCUUGUACACACCGCCCGUCACAU